rnacentral:rRNA from 1 species
AGAGUUUGAUCCUGGCUCAGGACGAACGCUGGCGGCGUGCCUAAUACAUGCAAGUCGAACGGUCUUUUCUAUGGAAGCUUGCUUCCACUGAGAAGAUAGUGGCGAACGGGUGAGUAACACGUGGGUAACCUGCCCAUAAGAGGGGGAUAACAUCCGGAAACGGGUGCUAAUACCGCAUAGUUUUCUUGAUCGCAUGAUUGAGAAAGGAAAGACGGCCUUUGUGCUGUCGCUUAUGGAUGGACCCGCGGCGUAUUAGUUAGUUGGUGAGGUAACGGCCCACCAAGACGAUGAUACGUAGCCGACCUGAGAGGGUGAUCGGCCACAUUGGGACUGAGACACGGCCCAAACUCCUACGGGAGGCAGCAGUAGGGAAUCUUCCGCAAUGGACGAAAGUCUGACGGAGCAACGCCGCGUGAGUGAAGAAGGUUUUCGGAUCGUAAAACUCUGUUGUCAGAGAAGAACAAGUUGGAGAGUAACUGCUCCAGCCUUGACGGUAUCUGACCAGAAAGCCACGGCUAACUACGUGCCAGCAGCCGCGGUAA